GAUGAACGCUAGCGGCAGGCCUAAUACAUGCAAGCCGAACGGCAAGUUUGAUAGCAAUAUUGGACCUAGAGUGGCGCAAGGGUGCGUAACACGUAUGCAACCUGCCCGCGACAGGAGGAUAGCUCCCCGAAAGGGGAAUUAACCCUCCAUAACACCAUGAGAAGGCAUCUGAUUAUGGUUAAACCGCAAGGGGUCGCGGAUGGGCAUGCGGUUGAUUAGCUAGUUGGCGGGGUAAAGGCCCACCAAGGCGGUGAUCAAUAGGGGUUCUGAGAGGAAGGUCCCCCACACUGGCACUGGGAUACGGGCCAGACUCCUACGGGAGGCAGCAGUAGGGAAGAGUGGACAAUGGUUGCAAGACUGAUCCAGCCAUGCCGCGUGCAGGAAGAAGGCCUUCUGGGUCGUAAACUGCUUUUUCCUGUGGAUAAAAUACCCGUGCGCGGGGAAUUGAAGGUAACAGGGGAAUAAGCCACGGCUAACUACGUG
rnacentral:rRNA from 1 species